rnacentral:tRNA from 3 species
CGACGUAGCUCAAUUGGUAGAGCAGCGGUCUCCAAAACCGCAAGAUGCAGGUUCGAGUCCUGUCGGGUCAG